CUGGGCACUAGUGAGGCAGCAGAUGACUGGAAGACAGCAAACAUGAUCCCAUUUUUCAAGAAAGGCAACAGGGAAGAGCUUGGAUGUAUAAUUUCGCAUUGAAGGUGGAGAUUAUCCAACAACUGCUUGAUGUAAAUUCCACAACAGAUAUUGCUGAAGUAACUAUAUUUUUAUUUUCAAGAAGUAACGAAGAUUAUUGACGGCAGAAUAGUACAUAUGGUUUACAUGGACUUUAACAAAUCUUUUCCUGGUCCUAUGGGCUAGGGCACAUGGAACCCAAGCUUGGCUUGGCUUGGCAAUAGGAGGUAGACGAUGGUGCUUGACGGGUGCUUUUCUGAAUGGAAGACUGUAACCACUGUAUGGAUCAAAAGACAUGGAUGAAAAAAAUUCACAUAUGGAGAUCCAGAAAAGUAUGAGGUAGGAGAUACAGAAGCCUGAAGGCACACACUCAGUGAUUCAGGAACAGCUUCUUCCCCUCUGCCAUCCGGAUUCCUAAAUAGACAUUGAAGCUUUGGACACUACCUCACUUUUUUUUAAAUAUACAGUAUUUCUGUUUUUGCACAUUUAAAAAAAUCUAUUCAAUACAUAUAAUUGACUUUUUUUUCUCUGUUAGAUUAUGUAUUACAUUGAACUGUGCUACUGUUAAAAAGUUUCACGUCACAUGCCGGUGAUAAUAAACCUGAUUCUGAAAGCCCUGUUCAUAAGGAUACUAAUAUGAACUAAAAUGCAUAUUAGACCAUUAAAUUUCAUUCAGCUGCAACACUUCCCACACCUCUAACAAACAAAAGUCACUUUAUA